UAACGAAAUGCGCGUUCGAACCAGGAGCAUUUAGAUCCUUAGUCUAAAGCUUUCAUAGCUGAGCUAUUUUGCC